UACGGGGGGAGCAAGCGUUGUUCGGAUUUACUGGGCGUAAAGGGCGCGUAGGCGGCCAGUGCAAGUCAGUUGUGAAAUCUCCGAGCUUAACUCGGAAAGGUCAACUGAUACUGCUCGGCUAGAGUGCGGAAGGGGCAACUGGAAUUCUUGGUGUAGCGGUGAAAUGCGUAGAUAUCAAGAGGAACACCUGCGGCGAAGGCGGGUUGCUGGGCCGACACUGACGCUGAUGCGCGAAAGCUAGGGGAGCGAACGGGG
rnacentral:rRNA from 1 species